AGCAGCCGCGGUAAUUCCAGCUCCAAUAGCGUAUAUUAAAGUUGUUGCAGUUAAAAAGCUCGUAGUUGAAUUUCGGGGUCAGUGCGUCGGUCGUGCCUUCGGUACGUACUAACGUUAUUGAUUCCUACCUUCUGACGAACCGUGAUGUCAUUAAUUUGGUGUUACGGGGAAUCAGGACUGUUACCUUGAAAAAUUAGAGUGUUUAAAGCAGGCCAAAGCUUGAAUACAUUAGCAUGGAAUAAUGAAAUAGGACGUUUGACCCUAUUUUGUUGGUUUCUAGGAUCGACGUAAUGAUUAAUAGGGAUAGUUGGGGGCAUUAGUAUUCAAUUGUCAGAGGUGAAAUUCUUGGAUUUAUUGAAGACUAACUACUGCGAAAGCAUUUGCCAAGGAUGUUUUCAUUAAUCAAGAACGAAAGUUAGGGGAUCGAAGACGAUCAGAUACCGUCGUAGU
rnacentral:rRNA from 1 species